rnacentral:rRNA from 1 species
GCCAGACUCCUACGGGAGGCAGCAGUGGGGGAUAUUGCACAAUGGGGGAAACCCUGAUGCAGCAACGCCGCGUGAGUGAAGAAGUAUUUCGGUAUGUAAAGCUCUCUCAGCAGGGAAGAGAAUGACGGUACCUGACUAAGAAGCCCCGGCUAACUACGUGCCAGCAGCCGCGGUAAUACGUAGGGGGCGAGCGUUAUCCGGAUUUACUGGGUGUAAAGGGAGCGUAGACGGCUGGUCAAGUCUGAAGUGAAAGCCCGGGGCUUAACCCCGGAACGGCUUUGGAAACUGGGCAGCUAGAGGGCUGGAGAGGUAAGCGGAAUUCCUAGGGUAGCGGUGAAAUGCGUAGAUAUUAGGAGGAACACCAGUGGCGAAGGCGGCUUACUGGACAGUAACUGACGUUGAGGCUCGAAAGCGGGGGGAGCAAACAGGAUUAGAUACCCCAGUAC